rnacentral:rRNA from 1 species
AGAAAAAAACGUCGGAAUCUGCCUAUUUGUGGGGGAUAACGCAUGGAAACUUACGCUAAUACCGCAUACGACCUACGGGUGAAAGUGGGGGACCGCAAGGCCUCACGCAGAUAGAUGAGCCGACGUCGGAUUAGCUAGUUGGUGGGGUAAAGGCCCACCAAGGCGACGAUCCGUAGCUGGUCUGAGAGGAUGAUCAGCCACACUGGAACUGAUACACGGUCCAGACUCCUACGGGAGGCAGCAGUGGGGAAUAUCGGACAAUGGGCGCAAGCCUGAUCCAGCCAUGCCGCGUGUGUGAAGAAGGCCUUCGGGUUGUAAAGCACUUUUGUCCGGAAAGAAAAGCUUAGGGUUAAUAGCCUUGAGUCAUGACGGUACCGGAAGAAUAAGCACCGGCUAACUUCGUGCCAGCAGCCGCGGUAAUACGAAGGGUGCAAGCGUUUACUCGGAAUUACUGGGCGUAAAGCGUGCGUAGGUGGUUUGUUAAGUCUGAUUGUGAAAGCCCUGGG